ACAGGACACACUGCUGCCUAUCGCCAGGAGUUUAAUAAGAACCUGGAGGAGGAUGUAACAGGAGACACGUCAGGCCACUUCAGGAGACUGCUGGUCAUCCUGCUACAGGCCAGCAGACAGCAGGGGGUACAGGAGGGGAACAUAGAGACUGAUGCACAGGUAAGAGA